AGUCGAGGGGCAUCAGGAAGAAGCUUGCUUUCUUUGCUGGCGACCGGCGCACGGGUGAGUAACACGUAUCCAACCUGCCCUUUACUCGGGGAUAGCCUUUCGAAAGAAAGAUUAAUACCCGAUGGGAUAAUUAUUCCGCAUGGUUUGAUUAUUAAAGGAUUCCGGUAAAGGAUGGGGAUGCGUUCCAUUAGGUUGUUGGUGAGGUAACGGCUCACCAAGCCUUCGAUGGAUAGGGGUUCUGAGAGGAAGGUCCCCCACAUUGGAACUGAGACACGGUCCAAACUCCUACGGGAGGCAGCAGUGAGGAAUAUUGGUCAAUGGGCGCUAGCCUGAACCAGCCAAGUAGCGUGAAGGAUGAAGGCUCUAUGGGUCGUAAACUUCUUUUAUAUAAGAAUAAAGUGCAGUAUGUAUACUGUUUUGUAUGUAUUAUAUGAAUAAGGAUCGGCUAACUCCGUGCCAGCAGCCGCGGUAAUACGGAGGAUCCGAGCGUUAUCCGGAUUUAUUGGGUUUAAAGGGAGCGUAGGUGGACUGGUAAGUCAGUUGUGAAAGUUUGCGGCUCAACCGUAAAAUUGCAGUUGAUACUGUCAGUCUUGAGUACAGUAGAGGUGGGCGGAAUUCGUGGUGUAGCGGUGAAAUGCUUAGAUAUCACGAAGAACUCCGAUUGCGAAGGCAGCUCACUGGACUGCAACUGACACUGAUGCUCGAAAGUGUGGGUAUCAAACAGGAUUAGAUACCCUGGUAGUCCACACA
rnacentral:rRNA from 1 species